rnacentral:rRNA from 1 species
UACGUAGGGUCCGAGCGUUGUCCGGAAUUAUUGGGCGUAAAGCGCGUGUAGGCGGCUUUGCAAGUCGGGUGUGAAAGCCCUCAGCUCAACUGAGGAAGUGCGCCCGAAACUGCAGAGCUUGAGUGCCGGAGAGGGUGGCGGAAUUCCCCCAAGUAGAGGUGAAAUUCGUAGAUAUGGGGGAGGAACACCGGUGGCGAAGGCGGCCACCUGGACGGUAACUGACGCUGAGACGCGAAAGCGUGGGGAGCAAACAGG